AAUGGGUGCAAGCCUGAACCAGCCAUCCCGCGUGAAGGACGACUGCCUAUGGGUUGUAAACUUCUUUUGUAUAGGGAUAACCUACCCUCGUGAGGGUAGCUGAAGGUACUAUACGAAUAAGCACCGGCUAACUCCGUGCCAGCAGCCGCGGUAAUACGGAGGGUGCAAGCGUUAUCCGGAUUUAUUGGGUUUAAAGGGUCCGUAGGCGGACUUAUAAGUCAGUGGUGAAAGCCUGUCGCUUAACGAUAGAACUGCCAUUGAUACUGUAACUAUAGCUGGAAUAAGUAGUGUAGCGGUGAAAUGCAUAGAUAUUACUUAGAACACCAAUUGCGAAGGCAGGUUACCAAGAUAUAACUGACGCUGAGGGACGAAAGCGUGGGGAGCGAACAGGAUU
rnacentral:rRNA from 1 species